AGUACACGAACCUGGGGCUCUUGAACAGCAUGGACCAGCAGAUUCAGAACGGCUCCUCGUCCACCAGUCCCUAUAACACAGACCACGCGCAGAACAGCGUCACGGCGCCCUCGCCCUACGCGCAGCCCAGCUCCACCUUCGAUGCCCUCUCGCCAUCACCCGCCAUCCCCUCCAACACCGACUACCCAGGCCCGCACAGUUUCGACGUGUCCUUCCAGCAGUCAAGCACCGCCAAGUCGGCCACCUGGACGGUAAGAGCAGCGGGCACGCACAUGCCUGACCCCAGUCCAAGGCCGGGCUUCACCACAUCCCAGGGAUUUCUCUCCCUUCCCAGUUUAGCGAUUCCACGUUCAAUGGUGGAAAAGUUGUCUUUGAAUAUUUAAUACUGAACCAGAGAGAGAGAAGGUGCCAGUUAGUGGGAAAAGUCCCAAUUUAGGAACCAAACGUCUGCAUUCUAGCCAGC